rnacentral:rRNA from 1 species
GAUGAACGCUAGCGGCAGGCUUAAUACAUGCAAGUCGAGGGACAGCACAGGUAGCAAUACUGGGUGGUAACCGGCAAACGGGCGCGGAACACGUACACAACCUUCCUUUAAGUGGGGGAUAGCCCAGAGAAAUUUGGAUUAAUACCCCGUAAUAUAGUUGAAUGGCAUCAUUUGAUUAUUAUAGCUACGGCGCUUAAUGAUGGGUGUGCGGCUGAUUAGAUAGUUGGCGGGGUAACGGCCCACCAAGUCUACGAUCAGUAGCUGAUGAGAGAGCAUGAUCAGCCACACGGGCACUGAGACACGGGCCCGACUCCUACGGGAGGCAGCAGUAAGGAAUAUUGGUCAAUAGACGCAAGUCUGAACCAGCCAUGCCGCGUGAAGGAUUAAGGUCCUCUGGAUUGUAAACUUCUUUUAUUUGGGACGAAAAAGGGCCUUUCUAGGUCAACUGACGGUACCAGAUGAAUAAGCACCGGCUAACUCCGUGCCAGCCGCCGCAGUAAUAC